AUUGAACGCUGGCGGAAUGCUUUACACAUGCAAGUCGGGCGGCAGCGCGGGGGCAACCCUGGCGGCGAGCGGCGAACGGGUGAGUAAUACAUCGGAACGUGUCCUUAAGUGGGGGAUAGCUCGGCGAAAGCCGGAUUAAUACCGCAUAAGCUCUGAGGAGGAAAGCGGGGGAUCGUCUAGAAACUGGAGACUAGAAACUAGAGACUAGAUUGAUAAGGUGCGGCGAAGCCGCGCUUCGUUAGUCUAGUUUCCAGUCUCUAGUGUCUAGUUUCUAGACGACCUCGCGCUGUUGGAGCGGCCGAUGUCGGAUUAGCUAGUUGGUGGGGUAAAGGCUCACCAAGGCGACGAUCCGUAGCUGGUCUGAG
rnacentral:rRNA from 1 species